UUGAACUCCUAACCUCAAGCAAUCUACCCGCCGCCACCUCCCAAAGUGCUGGAAUUACAGGUGUGGGACACCACGUCUGGCUGACAUCUCUUGGAGAAUGAGAAGUACUAGAUUUUUGUUUGAUUUUUAUGAAAAUAGUUUUGCGCAAAAGACCGCUAGCAGAAAAAAUGACUUAUCUGAAUAGGGGGUUUAAGUGAGGAAUUGGGCCUGGUUCAGCCCUGGCUCUAACCUACUCUAGAUCCACUGUCUGAGUGGAGCACAUUCUAUUCUUCAUGAGCACUAAGCACAUCCUGUUUUGCUACCCAACACCUUCCUUCAGGAGUGAUGCUGAUUCCUGGGUCUUCUUGUAGACGCUUGAUUUUAUCUCUGAAGACCCCGGACUUGUUGGCGUAGAAACAGCACUUUUCCUGCAGAGCUAAGCAGAUACCUCCGUGUUCGGCAGUUAAUAAAUCUAGGCCUCUUCUAUUUUGGAGCACUACUUCUGCCAGGGAAUCUACUUGAUCUGAAGGAGCCUUGGCCCCCUCGUCAUCACUUUCAAGAGAAAUAAGAUCUACUUCUUUGUCUGGCGGGGGGCUCCCAAGGUCGGUCUGAGAACUGACCUUUAAAAUCUCCUCAGUCUGGGUGACCGCAGCCAUUACUUGUGGAUCGGCCUCCUUUUUAUCUAUUAGAUCCUUGAUUAAAUUCCAAUAAGAAAAGGCGGUUACAGGAAUUUUUUCCGGCCCAAACGUAUUAUAAUAAUCUUGAAAGGCGUCUCCCACCCUCCGCCAUUCUUUUAUAUCAAUGGUUCCUUCCUGUGGGAAUCAAGGGCAGGUAUCUUUCACAAAAUAAAAACUCUAAAUAAGU